rnacentral:lncRNA from 1 species
AGUUUAGUUUAAGUUUAAUUAAAAUGAAUACUUGUUCAAUUUGUCAACUAACCUCAUUUACAAGUUUAUCCUGUGCUUUAUGUACAAAAAUUGUUGGCACCUAAUGUCAAGUUUUUAAAUUGUUUACAAAAGAUCAGUUGGAAGAGGUUGCAGUGUCUCCAACUAUGAAAAUGAUUUUUUCUGGAGCAGUCCAGCUAUAAACCCCUGGUAAACCUUAUAAUUUUGCCAGAACCAGUUUCACACACAACAUUUACAAAGCUAGUGGUUCUAUAAAAACUUAAGGAAAGAAUAAAUUUUAGAGUUGUCAUCGGCUAAAAAGAUAACGUUUAAUACAAAAGUCGCAUUCAUAUCUAAAAACAGGUAACGUGACACCAGGUUUUUAAACAGAUUAAUUGAUGAACAUUUCAAUCGUCACCAAAAAUUGAAUUUUCCUGUUUGUUGCAGGCUUGUUUUCCUUUAAUUAGGAGUAUGGUAGACUUAAAGAAGCAGUUCAUAUCUAAACGACACAAACUGUCAAAAGCAAGAGAAAUAAAGAAAAAAAGAGUUUUAUAGCGACAGAAAUUAUUUUAAUUGAAUAAAUGUUCAAAACUUUA